rnacentral:rRNA from 2 species
UGCAAGUCGAACGAGUUCCCGUUGAUUGACGUGCUUGCACUGAUUUCAACAUUGGAACGAGUGGCGAACUGGUGAGUAACACGUGGAAAACCUGCCCAGAAGCAGGGGAUAACACUUGGAAACAGGUGCUAAUACCGUAUAACAACAAAAACCGCAUGGUUUUUGUUUGAAAGGUGGCUUCGGCUAUCACUUCUGGAUGGUUCCGCGGCGCAUUAGCUUGUUGGUGGGGUAACGGCUCACCAAGGCGAUGAUGCGUAGCCGACCUGAGAGGGUAAUCGGCCACAUUGGGACUGAGACACGGCCCAGACUCCUACGGGAGGCAGCAGUAGGGAAUCUUCCACAAUGGACGCAAGUCUGAUGGAGCAAUGCCGCGUGAGUGAAGAAGGGUUUCGGCUCGUAAAACUCUGUUGUUGAAGAAGAACGGGUGUCAGAGUAACUGUUGACAUCGUGACGGUAUUCAACCAGAAAGCCACGGCUAACUACGUGCCAGCAGCCGCGGUAAUACGUAGGUGGCAAGCGUUGUCCGGAUUUAUUGGGCGUAAAGCGAGCGCAGGCGGUUUCUUAAGUCUGAUGUGAAAGCCUUCGGCUUAACCGAAGAAGUGCAUCGGAAACUGGGGAACUUGAGUGCAGAAGAGGACAGUGGAACUCCAUGUGUAGCGGUGGAAUGCGUAGAUAUAUGGAAGAACACCAGUGGCGAAAGCGGCUGUCUAGUCUGCAACUGACGCUGAGGCUCGAAAGCAUGGUAGCGAACAGGAUUAGAUACCCUGGUAGUCCAUGCGUAACGAUGAGUGCUAGUGUGGAGGGUUUCGCCUUCAGUGCGCAGCUAACGCAUUAAGCACUCCGCCUGGGGGAGUACGA